AAUCUUCCGCAAUGGACGGAAGUCUGACGGAGCAACGCCGCGUGAGCGAAGAAGGUCUUCGGAUCGUAAAGCUCUGUUGUGAGGGAAGAACAAGGGUAGGAGUAACUGUCUAUUCUUUGACGGUACCUCACCAGAAAGCCACGGCUAACUACGUGCCAGCAGCCGCGGUAAUACGUAGGUGGCAAGCGUUGUCCGGAAUUAUUGGGCGUAAAGGGCGCGCAGGCGGUUCCUUAAGUCUGAUGUGAAACCUUGCGGCUUAACCCCAAGCGGUCAUUGGAAACUGGGGGACUUGAGUGCAGAAGAGGAGAGUGGAAUUCCACGUGUAGCGGUGAAAUGCGUAGAGAUGUGGAGGAACACCAGUGGCGAAGGCGGCUCUCUGGUCUGCAACUGACGCUGAGGCGCGAAAGCGUGGGUAGCGAACA
rnacentral:rRNA from 1 species